rnacentral:rRNA from 1 species
AUUGAACGCUGGCGGCAGGCCUAACACAUGCAAGUCGAGCGGAUGAAGGGAGCUUGCUUCUGGAUUCAGCGGCGGACGGGUGAGUAAUGCCUAGGAAUCUGCCUGGUAGUGGGGGAUAACGUCCGGAAACGGGCGCUAAUACCGCAUACGUUCUGAGGGAGAAAGUGGGGGAUCUUCGUACCUCACGCUAUCAGAUGAGCCUAGGUCGGAUUAGCUAGUUGGUGGGGUAAAGGCCUACCAAGGCGACGACCCGUAACUGGUCUGAGAGGAUGAUCAGUCACACUGGAACUGAGACACGGUCCAGACUCCUACGGGAGGCAGCAGUGGGGAAUAUUGGACAAUGGGCGAAAGCCUGAUCCAGACAUGCCGCGUGUGUGAAGAAGGUCUUCGGAUUGUAAAGCACUUUAAGUUGGGAGGAAGGGCAGUAAGUUAAUACCUUGCUGUUUUGACGUUACCAACAGAAUAAGCACCGGCUAACUUCGUG